GAUUAGGAGCCCAGUGUAUGGAGGUUUCUCAUUGGAGGAGAUUGGGAGCCCAGUGUAUGGAGGUUUCUCAUUGGUGGAGUUUCCCCAGUCUCUGAUUGGCUGGGCUGUCAGGCCAAGAGACAUCUUCCUCUUCCUGCUGGACUGCAGAACAGGCGACAGCUUCCUGUGGGAGAUCCAGGUGCACAGUCCUGGUGUGGCUGCAUUGGCUGAUGGCCUGGUGGCCCCAGCAUCCUUUCUUCACUGAUAUGAUGACAGAUAACAUUACCUACAGUAACAUUACCAUGUGACUUUAGAAGAAGAAAAACCACUUAACCCAGCAUUGGAAGCCAUCCAUCUUGUCCAUGGAGAAAACCUUGGUGCUGGCCUUUACUUCGAGAUUCUGCCCUUCCACUUUUUGGUGUGAAAACAUCAAACUUCUAUGAGUUUCAAGCGACGUCAGAUGACAUACAUUUUCUAUUCAUCUUAGUUGGCAAAAAAAAAAAAAGGCACAAGGCACGAACUGAACAAGGUUGGCAACGUCUUUUCCUUUUUUUUUUGUUUUUGUUUUUUAGUGCCGUUUUUGAGUGUGAAAUUAAAGUUUCUCGUUCCGUGG
ensembl:lncRNA